rnacentral:rRNA from 1 species
AUGAACGCUGGCGGCGUGCCUCAUACAUGCAAGUCGAGCGAACAGACGAGGAGCUUGCUCCUCUGACGUUAGCGGCGGACGGGUGAGUAACACGUGGAUAACCUACCUAUAAGACUGGGAUAACUUCGGGAAACCGGAGCUAAUACCGGAUAAUAUAUUGAACCGCAUGGUUCAAUAGUGAAAGACGGUUUUGCUGUCACUUAUAGAUGAAUCCGCGCCGCAUUAGCUAGUUGGUAAGUUAACGGCUUACCAAGGCAACGAUGCGUAGCCGACCUGAGAGGGUGAUCGGCCACACUGGAACUGAGACACGGUCCAGACUCCUACGGGAGGCAGCAGUAGGGAAUCUUCCGCAAUGGGCGAAAGCCUGACGGAGCAACGCCGCGUGAGUGAUGAAGGUCUUCGGAUCGUAAAACUCUGUUAUUAGGGAAGAACAAAUGUGUAAGUAACUAUGCACGUCUUGACGGUACCUAAUCAGAAAGCCACGGCUAACUACGUG